rnacentral:rRNA from 1 species
GUGGAUUAGAUACCCUAGUAGUCCACGCCCUAAACGAUGCGAACUGGAUGUUGGGUGCACUUAGGCACGCAGUAUCGAAGCUAACGCGUUAAGUUCGCCGCCUGGGGAGUACGGUCGCAAGACUGAAACUCAAAGGAAUUGACGGGGGCCCGCACAAGCGGUGGAGUAUGUGGUUUAAUUCGAUGCAACGCGAAGAACCUUACCUGGCCUUGACAUGCACGGAACUUUCCAGAGAUGGAUUGGUGCCUUCGGGAACCGUGACACAGGUGCUGCACGGUUGUCGACAACU